AUUGAACGCUGGCGGCAGGCUUAACACAUGCAAGUCGAGCGGUAGCACAGGGGAGCUUGCUCCCUGGGUGACGAGCGGCGGACGGGUGAGUAAUGUCUGGGAAACUGCCUGAUGGAGGGGGAUAACUACUGGAAACGGUAGCUAAUACCGCAUAACGUCGCAAGACCAAAGAGGGGGACCUUCGGGCCUCUUGCCAUCAGAUGUGCCCAGAUGGGAUUAGCUAGUAGGUGGGGUAAUGGCUCACCUAGGCGACGAUCCCUAGCUGGUCUGAGAGGAUUACCAGGCAACACUGAAAUGAGGAACGGGCCAGACUCCUAAGGGAGGGAGGCGGGGGGGAAAUUGCAAAAUGGGCGGAAGCCUGAUGGCGGCAAGCCGGGUGUGUGAAGAAGGCCUUCGGGUUGUAAAGCAAUUUUCGGGGGGAGGAAGGUGGUUAACCUAAUAAGUUCAUCAAUUGACGUUACUCGCAGAAGAAGCACCGGCUAACUCCGUG
rnacentral:rRNA from 1 species